UACGAGAGGCCCAAACGUUAUUCGGAAUUACUGGGCUUAAAGAGUUCGUAGGCGGCGCAGAAAGUAGGGUGUGAAAGCCCUCGGCUCAACCGAGGAAUUGCGCUCUAAACUACUGUGCUUGAGGAACCUAGAGGUGAGCAGAACUGAUGGUGGAGCGGUGAAAUGCGUUGAUAUCAUCAGGAAUACCGGAGGCGAAGGCGGCUCACUGGGGGUUUUCUGACGCUGAGGAACGAAAGUCAGGGGAGCGAACGGG
rnacentral:rRNA from 1 species